rnacentral:rRNA from 2 species
GCGGAGGAAAAGAAACCAACCGGGAUUGCCCCAGUAACGGCGAGUGAAGCGGCAACAGCUCAAAUUUGAAAUCUGGAGCCUUUGUUGGCUUCCGAGUUGUAAUUUGCAGAGGGAGCCUCGGAGGGCUGGUCGGUCCAAGUGCCUUGGAACAGGAUACCGCAGAGGGUGAGAGUCCCGUAUCCGGCCGACGCAGCGCUCCGUGUGAGGCCUCUUCGACGAGUCGAGUUGUUUGGGAAUGCAGCUCUAAGUGGGUGGUAAAUUCCAUCUAAAGCUAAAUACUGGCCAGAGACCGAUAGCGAACAAGUAGAGUGAUCGAAAGAUGAAAAGCACUUUGAAAAGAGAGUUAAACAGUACGUGAAAUUGUUGAAAGGGAAGCGCAUGGGGGCAGACUUGGACGCGGGGUUCAGGGUCUCCUUUGUUGGAGGCGUGUACUUCCCCGCGGACAGGCCAGCAUCGGUUCUGGGGGCCGGACAAAGGCGACGGGAACGUGGCUCUCUUCGGGGAGUGUUAUAGCCCGACGUGCAAUGCGGCCACCUGGGACCGAGGACCGCGCUCGGCAAGG